GGGGAGGAGAGAGAGAAAGAUGACACACGAGCCAGCUUCAUUCUGCUGACUGCUCAACUUUAGGUGUUGCUGGGUGUGAGAUGACUCACGGGACGAGGCAAAGCGCCGGGCACACACGGCUCUCAGUGACAUCGCCGCUCCUCCGAGAGGAGUGUGCUCAGAUUGGAACAAGGAUCAAGUCACCCAUCACAGCGAAGCAUGCAGGGAAAGGCCAAGAGGUAGAAAAUCUGUCUGCCUAUACCUUGGUUGAAAUCUUGGAUGUAUUGGCAUGUCUCCUCUCAUCACCCCACCACUUGUGAGCAGGAUCGAGGAGAGUUUAGGUGGGAGAGCGUGUGUUGAGGCGUAAAGGACCCUCUCAGCCCUAAGCCAAGUCCUGUCCAUCCAACGGAGAGCCCAGACGGUGUGAUUCAGCCCUCCUGAAGCCCGGCCAACUCAUACUCACACAAACACACGCAGUUACACACACACAAGGCACUCGGUGAGAAAGUCACAGACAUCCUUUUUCCUCUCUUAAGUCACCACAGUGAGGCUGCACUGGAGGAGAGGCACAAAGAAGAGGUGUGGAGGGGUAGCUCUGCAGAUCUCAAUCCUCAAGGCAAGGUCACUUUUGCCUGGCUAAAAGCACGCAUAAGUGAUAGAAGCACUGAGGAGGAUACAGGUAAAAGAAAAGAUUCUGGUCUUUUUAAAACUUGGGCCCUGUUUUCCCAUCUUUUGGGGUUUAAAUUUUUAAUAGGGACAAAGAUGUUUGGAGUCAGCUCACUACAGAGCAAUAACCAGCAGUGUUGAAGCAACUGCAAAAUAAUCCUACAGGGCUAUUGCCCAACAUCACAAUGUUUAUAUUUGAUACUUUACCGUAAAUGUCUGUAAUCUUCAAGUUAUCCUGCCACGGUUUUGAUUGAUUGGAUUGAUUUUAUUUAGUUCCAAUACAUAUUAAGACAGUGAUAGUGUGCAGGUAAUAAGUACCUGAAUAAGGAGCAGUAAAAAGUAAUCAUAAAAAUCAACCAAUUUCCAUAAUGUACCUUUUUUGGAAGCAUUUUGCAUUGCAGUGAUGCCAUGUCAACAAAAUAGCUUGAGCAAUAACAUUAACUCCAGUACAUUUGCAUUUUUCUUGUAGAAAAUGUGCUUUGCUGUUCUCUGUGAUUGACCCCAGUAAUCUCAGAUAAAAUGGUCACACAAAACCAGAUGGUUUCCAAGGUGCAGUGCUCGAACAGGAGUGUUUUUGUUAAUUUGUAGCACAGCUGGUCACAUCUUAGGCAUGUCCCCAUUGCCCAAAGUUACUCUGCAAAAGCUUUGUGAAGGGUAGUGUGUCAUUGUGUUGCCACAACUCAGAAAUCUGCACCCAUAAACCAUUUGUUUGCCUUUGUUGUUUUUUUCAAUAACAAUAUCUACAUUUUCUGUAACUAUGUAACUAGAGACUUUUGCAAGGUACUGGUCUGUCCCUGUUGGGAUCUUUUGUUAACGUUUUGCUCAACUGGGAACCUGGGAAAACAAGCACUUUUCUUGAAUGACAAUUGCCCUGUGGGAUUACAUUGGAGCCGCUUCACCGUAGCCAGUUGUAGGUAUCUUUCUCAGUAUUGGACUUCUUCCAAACAUUUUUUGUCCUUAUUAACAAUCUAGACCCCAUAAAGUUUGAAAAAU